rfam:Capsella rubella cultivar Monte Gargano unplaced genomic scaffold scaffold_7, whole genome shotgun sequence.
GUACUUACCUGGACGGGGUCAACUCGUGAUCAUGAAGACGAGUGGCCUAGGCUAGCGACCACAUUGCACUUUGUCGGUGUGCUUAGCUUAAGGUCUUCCCAUGAGGGAGAUCCUGCGUCAUUAUUUGUGGCAGUGGAGGCCUGCGUCCGCGCGGCCUCUC